GUUCUGAGCCCAAAGUUCUAUGGUAAACUAUGAAGUCACAUGGAUGUUGAAGCUGACAGAUCUUGGAGGCCACAACCACCCUCACCCUCCAAGACAUCAAAAGAAGGACAGGAUCUGGAGGAAAUAAUGGAGAGCAUGUGCAGAUGCAUUAUAUCAGGCUCCUGUUUCCAGAAUUACAGUCUUAAAGCUGUCAGGACUGUUUAAGAGCAGGGAUGAUCGGGAGAUUGUUCGGCAUAUGAAACACCAUUUUCUGAACAUUUAAGCAGGUGAGUCAGGAGACUGUGAAACAACUGGCAAAGAGAACCUGAAAUAUCAAGCAAAGGACUUUUUCUUUCCUUCUCAGCUUUCAAGACAUCCUGUUUUUCCACAAAAUAAAUGAAUCAUAUUUUCUAUUCUA